rnacentral:tRNA from 1 species
UGUCCCGUGGUGUAAUUGGCAACACGUCAGAUUCUGGUUCUGAAAUUCUGGGUUCGAUUCCUAGCAGGACAACAA